AGGGUGGACUUAAGGUUUCUGUGUCAGUCUUAACAGAUUUGAGUUUUAAUAAACAAAAACUGCCAUAAGCAGUAGCAUACUAAAUACAUAAACAUAAUCCCACUAAACUACGUAAAUGUUACCAUCUUUACUCUUUGCCAAUAUUCAGUGGCAAGUAAGACUAAUAAUAUAAAGUCUAUCACAUCCAAUUCUCCUGAUGGAACAUUUAUAGCUCAUUA